GAGUUUGAUCAUGGCUCAGAUUGAACGCUGGCGGCAUGCCUUACACAUGCAAGUCGAACGGCAGCAUGAUCUAGCUUGCUAGAUUGAUGGCGAGUGGCGAACGGAUGAGUAAUACAUCGGAACGUGCCCUGUAGUGGGGGAUAACUAGUCGAAAGAUUAGCUAAUACCGCAUACGACCUGAGGGUGAAAGUGGGGACCGCAAGGCCUCAUGCUAUAGGAGCGGCCGAUGUCUGAUUAGCUAGUUGGUGGGGUAAAGGCCCACCAAGGCGACGAUCAGUAGCUGGUCUGAGAGGACGAUCAGCCACACUGGGACUGAGACACGGCCCAGACUCCUACGGGAGGCAGCAGUGGGGAAUUUUGGACAAUGGGCGAAAGCCUGAUCCAGCAAUGCCGCGUGUGUGAAGAAGGCCUCGG
rnacentral:rRNA from 1 species